UGAUGAGUUGAACUCCCUUUAUGGGGAAUCUCGUGCCGGAGGCUUAGGUGCUGAGGUGAAAAUGAGAAUCCUAAUGGGGACAUAUGCUCUGUCUGCUGGUUAUUAUGAUGCAUAUUACAAGCGAGCCCAGCAGGUCAGGACUUUGGUAAGGGAAAGCUUCAGGGCAGCAUUAGAUGAGAACGAUAUUUUGAUUUCUCCUGCUGCACCAUCAGCAGCUUACAAAAUUGGUGAAAAGAAGAACGAUCCGUUGUCAAUGUAUGCUGGUGAUAUUAUGACUGUCAAUGUGAACUUGGCUGGUCUUCCAGCAUUAGUUCUCCCGUGUGGAUUUGUUGAUAGCAGUUCUGUGGCCCUUCCCGUUGGUGUUCAGAUGAUUAGUG
rnacentral:misc_RNA from 1 species